AAUUUCAACCCUAAAAUUCAUUAUUUAUUCUUGUUGGUUUAAUAUGGAGUUGGAUUUGAUACCAUUUGUUAGAAUUUAAAAACUUUAUGAAUCUCAAGUAUUUGAAAACCCAUUUUCUUUUACUUUAUUUGUUGCUAGGAUCUUCCAUAUCAAAUCAUAAAGAGAAUUAAAAGUGUAGAACAUACCUUGAUCCAUGGUGAAUGAGUUUGAUUACUGGAUUUUAAUUCUGAAUCUUGAAUUGGGCGUUCUUGAUUAUUGCUUCUAGAUCUUCAUUGCCUGUUCUUGAUCCUUAAUCGCGG
rnacentral:lncRNA from 1 species